CGGCCUCACCAACCCCACCCCCCGCCGCAUCUACUCUCCGUCGGCAACCACGCGCCACCGCUGGCCCCCGGAGGACCCACCGCGCUCCUCCCCCACCCGGAUUUCGUCCUCUCUCGCCGCCAACGGCACCUAAGUCGGCAGAUCUAUGGCCCCUCGUCAUCGGCGGCGGAUUCGAUGCAUCCCAGCCGCCGGCGCCAUCACGUUUUCGAUGGAUCCGACGGGGACUGAACCACGCAGCCCCCUCAACCACUCUGCGCCGCAUCUCGGUAUGUCCUCUCGGCGCUCGGAUCUCACUCAUCAACCUACCAACGGCAGAGCCAUGUCUGGCCGUCGCCUGGGCUCAGCACUAGUCCAGCGGCUCGUCGGCUCGCUGCUGCCGGUCAUCAAGUGUGACCACUACCCGCGGCUGGUGCUGCGCCGAGUUUCAAGCACGCCGAAACAUCCUGGAUGAGUGUUCUUCAAAUGCGAAAACAACGGGGAAGGAUGCAAGUUUUGGUAUUGGGAAGAAGAAUACAUCAAUCUAUUGGUAGGGAGAAAUUUGCUAGAUGUUCGUACACUACUUGCUAGAGUUGAGACUAUAGAGACGACGCGAUGUCCAAUUGUGUGUAGGCGGAGAAGAACAAAGUGUGCAAGCUCAAGAAGUCGAUAGAGAAAAGCAAUAAUGUGGGCACUGAAGAUAUAGAGAAAGUAUUAAACGAACCAGUGGGAGCAGUUAGGGCACUUGGAUUUCUAUUAAAGUGUCUAAUUAUUCUUGUAGUUUUCUUCGGUCGGUUCUCUUAGAGAAGACUUGGUGAAAUGUGUAACCAUCAUGUCGUUUAAUAAAGUAAUAUAAGAGAAGUUUAUUUCGGUUGCCGGAAAUUAAAUGAAUUUGAUAAAAACAAAAUUUUACUCUGAAUUUAGGGGAUCGGCUAGAAACGACCAAAACUUAGAGGAGUAAAAAUACUCCACUAAGGUUUACACGGCCAUUUACUCCUCUAAAAUUUAGGGGAUCGGCUAAAGAUGCUCUUACAAAGGUUGGAGUUGGUGGUGAGUUCACAUGUGAGACCAACAAUCUUUGUCAAUAAACAAAUGCAUGCCUACCCACAUGUGGGACUAGCAACCUUCGAAGAUACAUACAUAAACAAAUGUGCUUUUAGUCACAUGUGGGAACUAACACAAAUAAACAAAUA